rnacentral:rRNA from 1 species
UACGUAGGGUGCAAGCGUUGUCCGAAUUAUUGGGCGUAAAGAGCUUGUAGGCGGUUUGUCGCGUCUGCUGUGAAAUUUCGGGGGCUCAACCCCCGAACUUGCAGUGGGUACGGGCAGACUAGAGUGUGGUAGGGGAGACUGGAAUUCCUGGUGUAGCGGUGAAAUGCGCAGAUAUCAGGAGGAACACCGAUGGCGAAGGCAGGUCUCUGGGCCAUAACUGACGCUGAGAAGCGAAAGCAUGGGGAGCGAACAGG